UACGGGGGGGGCAAGCGUUGUUCGGAAUUACUGGGCGUAAAGGGUUCGUAGGUGGCCUACUAAGUCAGACGUGAAAUCCCUCAGCUUAACUGGGGAACUGCGUCUGAUACUGGAGGGCUUGAGUGCAGGAGAGGAACGCGGAAUUCCAGGUGUAGCGGUGAAAUGCGUAGAUAUCUGGAGGAACACCGGUGGCGAAGGCGGCAUCCUGGACCGGUAUUGACACUGAGGAGCGAAAGCCAGGGGAGCAAACGGG
rnacentral:rRNA from 1 species